GACUACUAAACUAUGUUCGCCUAAACAGUCUAAUCUUGGCCAGUUCAAGGCUUCAGGCUCCCUGGCUCCUCUCGAACAGGCAGCGGCGGCGGUGGCGUUUCGUGACGGAAUCACGGAAUUAAUUAAGCCGACCUUCAUAGCUGCCAUCGGAGGCUAGAGAAAGAGGCAAAUCUCAGGUGUGCGGUCCUGCCCUGCAGUUCUACUCCUUAAUCCUGAUUCUCAGUUUUUGUGUCAUUUCGGGAAAAGGUGGAUUCAAAAUAUUUGAAAAACUAAAGGAUAAAAAUUUAAAAAAAAAUAUACAUCAGACCAUCC
rnacentral:lncRNA from 1 species